CGGUACCAGGAAGCGCUGGGGGGAAGAGGAGCGGAGUUGAAACAAGCCAGGAUGGUGGUGCCUUCGCUGAAGCUUCAAGAUCUAAUCGAGGAAAUUCGUGGGGCCAAGACCCAGGCCCAGGAGCGGGAGGUGAUCCAGAAGGAGUGCGCCCACAUCCGCGCCUCCUUCCGCGAUGGGGACCCUCUGCACAGGCACCGCCAGCUGGCCAAACUGCUCUACGUCCACAUGUUGGGCUACCCCGCCCACUUUGGACAGAUGGAGUGCCUGAAACUGAUCGCCUCCCCCAGAUUCACAGACAAGAGGGUGGGCUACCUGGGGGCCAUGCUUCUACUGGAUGAGAGGCAGGAUGCCCACCUGCUCAUUACCAACAGCAUCAAGAAUGACCUGAGCCAGGGGAUUCAGGCAGUACAAGGCCUGGCCCUGUGCACUCUGAGCACUGUGGGCUCUGCUGAGAUGUGCCGGGACCUGGCCACUGAGGUGGAGAAACUGCUCCUGCAGCCCAGCUCCUAUGUGCGCAAGAAGGCUGUUCUGACUGCAGUGCACAUGAUCCGGAAGGUCCCCGAGCUCUCCAACAUUUUCCUCCCACCCUGUGCCCAACUGCUUCAUGAACGCCACCACGGCAUCCUGCUGGGCACCAUCACGCUGAUCAUGGAGCUCUGUGAACGAAGCCCUGCAGCUCUCAAGCACUUUCGAAAGGUGGUUCCCCAGCUGGUGCAGAUCCUCCGGACUCUGGUGACGACGGGAUACUCUGUAGAACACAGUGUAUCUGGAGUCAGCGACCCCUUUCUGCAGGUCCAGAUACUUCGUCUGCUUCGGAUUCUGGGCCAGAACCAUGAAGAAAGCAGUGAGACCAUGAAUGACUUGCUGGCCCAGGUGGCCACCAACACAGACACCAGCCGAAAUGCGGGCAACGCAGUCCUGUUUGAGACUGUGCUGACCAUCAUGGACAUCCGCGCUGCAGCCGGCCUGCGGGUUCUGGCUGUCAACAUUCUCGGCCGCUUUCUGCUCAACAAUGACAGGAACAUUAGGUACGUAGCCCUGACGUCAUUGCUGCGUAUGGUGCAGUCCGAUCACAGCGCUGUGCAGCGGCACCGGCCCACUGUGGUGGAGUGUCUGCGGGAACCCGACGCCUCCCUGAGCCGGCGGGCCCUGGAACUGAGUCUGGCUCUGGUGAAUAGCUCCAAUGUGCGAGCCAUGACACAAGAGCUGCAGAGCUUUCUGGAAUCCUGCCCCCCUGAUCUACGGGCCGACUGUGCCUCAGGCAUCCUGCUGGCAGCAGAGAGGUUUGCCCCAACCAAGCGGUGGCACAUAGACACCAUCCUGCGUGUGCUGACAACGGCAGGCACCCAUGUACGGGAUGAUGCGGUGGCCAACCUGACCCAGCUGAUUGGGGGUGCUCAGGAGCUACACGCCUACUCUGUGCGCCGUCUCUACAGCGCCCUGGCAGACGACAUCUCCCAACAACCGCUGGUGCAAGUGGCAGCCUGGUGCAUUGGAGAAUACGGGGACCUCCUGCUGGAGGGGGGCUGUGAGGAAACUGAGCCCCUUCAGGUGGAGGAAGAGAAGGUGUUGGCACUCCUCGAAAAGGUGCUGCAGUCCCAUAUGUCCCUACCGGCCACACGAGGAUAUGCCCUGACAGCCCUCAUGAAGCUCAGCACCAGGCUCCGUGGGGACAACAACCGCAUCCGCCAGGUGGUGUCCAUUUAUGGGAGCUGCCUGGACGUGGAGCUGCAGCAGCGGGCCGUGGAGUACAACACGCUCUUCCGGAAGUACGACCACAUGAGGGCUGCCAUCCUAGAAAAGAUGCCUCUCGUGGAGCGAGGUGGCACUCAGGAUGAGGAAGCAAAGGAAAGCAAAGAGGCCCAGCUUUCGGAAGCAGCCCUUGUUGCCACAGAGCCGCAGGCCUCCAAGCUCUUGGAUCUGUUAGAUCUCCUGGAUGGCACUUCUGGGGCUGCCCAGCCCCCACCUGCUCCGGAACCCUCCCCAGGAGGCACUUUAGUACACCUCCUCGACCUGCCCUGUGCGUCUCCAGCCCCAGACUUCGUAUCCUGGCCUGUGAGGCCCAGCUUCCUCCCAGCCCAUCUCCUAUACUUUCCCUCUCCCUGCUCCACUGGCCCCUCUCAGCUCCUCAGACCGUCUCACCUGAAACGCUUGCUUCCAUCCCAAAUCUCAGAGUGUUUGAGCGUGAAGGACUGCAGCUGAAUCUGUCUUUUGUUCGCCCCCCUGGAACCCCUGCUUUGCUCUUAAUCACGGUCACUGCUAUCAACACCUCAGGGGCUGAUGUCACCCACUUUGUCUGUCAGGCUGCCGUGCCCAAGAGUUUCCAGCUGCAGCUACAGGCCCCCAGUGGGGACACAGUUCCAGCUCAGGGUGGCCUUCCAGUGACCCAGCUCCUCAGAAUCCUCAAUCCUAACAAGGCCCCCUUGAGGCUAAAGCUGCGCCUCACCUACAACCACUUUGGCCAGUCGGUGCAGGAGAUCUUUGAAGUGAACAACUUGCCCGUGGAGACGUGGCAGUAACUCAGCCUCCACUCAGUCUGAAAUCCUCCUGUAUCCCAAACUCCCCAGGGUCUCGGCCACUUGGAGCCUGCACCUGAUGACUACCAGCAGGUGGCGCUCUGGUCCUGCGUUUGCCUCUGCAAAACCGGGGGGGGGGAGCGGGGGGGGCGCCCUUCCACCCCCCACAAAUAAUGAAAGCCCAAUAAAGCCUGAGGGGGGAAAGCCAUAUUUGGGUAUAUUUGAGAUAGAAAACGUUUACAAAUCAUA